rnacentral:rRNA from 1 species
UACGUAGGGUGCAAGCGUUAAUCGGAAUUACUGGGCGUAAAGCGUGCGUAGACGGCUAUCUAAGUCGGGUGUGAAAGCCCCGGGCUCAACCUGGGAAUUGCAUUCGAGACUGAAUAGCUAGGGUACGGUAGAGGGAAGUGGAAUUUCCGGUGUAGCGGUGAAAUGCGUAGAUAUCGGAAGGAACAUCAGUGGCGAAAGCGACUUCCUGGACCAGCACCGACGUUCAGGCACGAAAGCGUGGGGAGCAAACAGG